CGCUACAUGGGAUGAAAGGCAACUACCUGCAGCGGGAGAGGAGAAGCUCGUAGAAGGUAUGGCAGCUUGGGCGAAGAGGAGUGCCAGGGCAGUUUGAGGCAGAGUGUAAAGCGUCAAGCUUCAUGACCGGCUAGUCGUUUGAUAACGGUCAUUGAAGCUCCUCGCUGAUUUCGAUCAUGGUGGCCAGACUGACGAGCUUGAGGUGAUGCAAAGCGUCGAGCUUCAUGACCGGCUAGUCGUUUGAUAGCGGUCACUAAAGUUCUUCACUGACUUUGAUCAUGGUGGCCAGAGUGACGAGCUUGAGGUAGUUGGUGGAUGCUGA
rnacentral:lncRNA from 1 species